UAAUAGGUUAUCCAAGGCUUUAAAUAAUCCACUGUUUCCUUAAUAAUUAAUGAUUUGUACUGCAUAUUUUGUUUGGUACAUUAGUUUAUUUCGCAUUUAUUACUUUAUUGCUUCUAAUACUUGUGGGGAUUUAGGGUAGAGGGAUGUGAGAUUGUUACUUUGAACUCAUGAUUUCCUUCACACACACAGCACAUUUUACAUUCAUGCAUAAACCCUCCACCCGGGUUAUGUCCUUUUUAGGAGGGAGUUUAGUAGCUACGCUCUCGUGAGGUGAUAACCUCCGCACGGGCUAGUGAAGACUCCCACUCAAAUCGAACCUAGUCCGUUUGAAGCCUGUAAUGGGUGAGGA
rnacentral:lncRNA from 1 species